rnacentral:lncRNA from 1 species
GAUCAAGCCAGGAUAGAAAACUGUCCUUUGGUUAUGACAGUAUAUGUCGUCGAUGAUCACAUGAGAAUGUUUUCUCUUGAACAUGCAGCAGAAACAAGAUUCCGGUGUGGGGAAAAGUAAAUGGGACUUGUUUAAACAGAGUAUGAGGAGUUGCUUUCACGAAGUUUGGCUGUGAAGAGGAGGAAAAGGAGAGCCAGGGUGCUGCUGGAAGGAGGCUGAGAUUAGCCCUGAGCUAACUACUGCCAGUCCUCCUCUUUUUGCUGAGGAAGACUGGCCCUGAGCUAACAUCCGUGCCCAUCUUCCUCUACUUUAUAUGUGGG